rnacentral:rRNA from 1 species
AGAGUUUGAUCAUGGCUCAGGAUGAACGCUGGCGGCGUGCCUAACACAUGCAAGUCGAGCGAUCUUCUUCGGAAGAGAGCGGCGGACGGGUGAGUAACGCGUGGGUAACCUGCCCUGUACACACGGAUAACAUACCGAAAGGUAUGCUAAUACGAGAUAAUAUGCUUUUAUCGCAUGGUAGAAGUAUCAAAGCUCCGGCGGUACAGGAUGGACCCGCGUCUGAUUAGCUAGUUGGUGAGGUAACGGCUCACCAAGGCGACGAUCAGUAGCCGACCUGAGAGGGUGAUCGGCCACAUUGGAACUGAGACACGGUCCAAACUCCUACGGGAGGCAGCAGUGGGGAAUAUUGCACAAUGGGCGAAAGCCUGAUGCAGCAACGCCGCGUGAGCGAUGAAGGCCUUCGGGUCGUAAAGCUCUGUCCUCAAGGAAGAUAAUGACGGUACUUGAGGAGGAAGCCCCGGCUAACUACGUGCCAGCAGCCGCGGUAAUACGUAGGGGGCUAGCGUUAUCCGGAAUUACUGGGCGUAAAGGGUGCGUAGGUGGUUUCUUAAGUCAGAGGUGAAAGGCUACGGCUCAACCGUAGUAAGCCUUUGAAACUGGGAAACUUGAGUGCAGGAGAGGAGAGUGGAAUUCCUAGUGUAGCGGUGAAAUGCGUAGAUAUUAGGAGGAACACCAGUUGCGAAGGCGGCUCUCUGGACUGUAACUGACACUGAGGCACGAAAGCGUGGGGAGCAAACAGGAUUAGAUACCCUGGUAGUCCACGCCGUAAACGAUGAGUACUAGCUGUCGGAGGUUACCCCCUUCGGUGGCGCAGCUAACGCAUUAAGUACUCCGCCUGGGAAGUACGCUCGCAAGAGUGAAACUCAAAGGAAUUGACGGGGACCC